GGAUCCUACACCAGAGCAGGUUGAUAUGUUUGAAGGAGGCUGUGACCCUGUAGGAAUCCUAUGCUGGAGCAGGCUCCUGGCAGGACCUGUGGCCCUGUGGCAAGGGUAGCUCAUGCUGAAAAAGGUUUGCUAGGAGGGCUUGUGACCUUGUGGGGGACCCAUGGAGCAGUUUAUAAAAAAAUAUAGCCUAUGGGAAGGACCCCAUGCUGGAGCAGGGGAAGAGUGAAAGAAAGUUUGAGAGGGGGAGUGAUAGAGCAGCUUUGGUGGGCAGCUGGCAUCCAACCAAGAUCAACCCACCAAAAAGGAAAUAGUUGCAGCAAAUGAGAAGGCAGAAUGCAUUUGAAUUUGUGGAUAUGGGUUUAGAAGUUUGUUGAAGAAAAUCCAGUUGAAUAAAAUGGGUUUUGAGGCAAAGCCCCAAGCUUUGGAAUGUGCAUAUACAAGAGAGCUGUAAACAGAGGGAUAAAUUGAUUUUCUGACCACCCAGAAGGUGAAAAGAAAUUGAGAAUAAGGAAUAAACCAGUUAAGCUCCUGGGAAGUAAAUGCUUACAUUAAAAUGGGCAUACACAUCCUGCCCUAAAUUAUAUAUCAAUACUGCAACACUGUUUUCCAAUUCAUAACCUUUACAGACCAUGCCUGUUAUAAAUUGUUUUGUCAGCAAUUUGAAUUAUUAUAUACACUUGUAUCUAAGAAGUCAAAAAGCAUCCUGGCCUGCAUAGGAGGAGCAUCACCAGCAGGUCAAGGAAGGUGAUCCUUCCACUCCACUCGGAACUAGUGAGCCUACACCUGGAGUGCCCUGUCUAAUACUGGCCUCCCCAUGGACAUGCUGGAGCAGAUCCAGUGAGGGGCCACAAAGACGAUUAAAGUACUGGAGCAUCUCCCAUAUAAGAGACUGGGACAUCUGGCAUUGUUUAGUCUGAAAAAAAAAAAAAAAAGGCUCAGGAGGAUCUUACCGACAUGUAUAAAUAUCUGAUGGGAGAAUGUAAAGAUAAAGCCAGACUCCUCUCAGCAGUAUCCUGUGACAGGACAAGAGGCAAUGGGCACAAACUGAAAUACAGGAAAUUCCAUCUGAGAGUAGGAAAACACUCCAGAAGAGCCUGCCAACCUCAACAACUCUGUGAUUUCCUGUAGCUUCUCAAAAAGAGAACAGAGCAAUGUAUGUGGAGAGGGUUGCUCUAUAAAGUCUUAUUUGCUUUUAUUUCAAGCAUCAAGUAUGGAGUUGUCUUCAAGAAUGAGUAACUGGUAGUUUUUUGAGUGCUUUCAUAUAACUUAUAACAAAAUUUUACUUUAAAAAUUUUCUCUCCCUUAUGUUUUCUUAGGGAAUUGUCAUGUUUUAACCCCAGCUGGCAACUAAAUACCACAACUUGCUCAUUCUCCUCCAUUCUGGUGUGAUGGGGAGGAGAAUUAGGGAAAGGUAAAAUCUGUGAGUUGAUAUAAAACCAGUUUAAUAAUUGAAACAAAGUAAAGUAUAAUAUAUAAUAAAUAAUAAUGGGAAAUAAAAAGAGGAAUAAACCC